AAGCAAGAAACUUCUUGUACUAUGGUUUCGGCCCAUAACUAGGUGACUUCACACCCUUGCUUU
rnacentral:tRNA from 1 species